UAGGGAAUCUUCGGCAAUGGACGAAAGUCUGACCGAGCAACGCCGCGUGAGUGAAGAAGGUUUUCGGAUCGUAAAACUCUGUUGGUAGAGAAGAACGUUGGUGAGAGUGGAAAGCUCAUCAAGUGACGGUAACUACCCAGAAAGGGCGGCUAACUACGUGCCAC
rnacentral:rRNA from 1 species